CAGCCGCCGCGGGAAUACGAAGGGGGCUAGCGUUGUUCGGAAUCACUGGGCGUAAAGCGCACGUAGGCGGACUUUUAAGUCAGGGAUGAAAUCCCAAGGCUCAACCUUGGAACUGCCUUUGAUACUGGAAGUCUUGAGUUCGGGAGAGGUGAGUGGAACUGCGAGUGUAGAGGUGAAAUUCGUAGAUAUUCGCAAGAACACCAGUGGCGAAGGCGGCUCACUGGCCCGAUACUGACGCUGAGGUGCGAAAGCGUGGGGAGCAAACAGGAUUAGAUACCCCUGUAGUCCCUGUCUCUUAUAC
rnacentral:rRNA from 1 species